GUACCUCAAAUAUGCACAAAUCACAAGACCAGACUGUCAUCAAAAACGUGUAUUUGAUCUGCCGUGAUCUACAAUAUAAAUAUGAAAUGUGCAAUGGUAUGUAUUAGCAAGUGUUCAAUUCCAAUCAAAAGAUUAAAUGAAUGAUAAAAACCAAAUGUUAUUGUGUGUGUUCUAUGUCUUUAUAGUGACCAACGAAUGUUCCUGUACAUUGUAGUUCAUCACUUAUAUUAUAUAACAUCCUCUAGCUUUGGCUCAUAUUGUAGUCUGUCUACAAAUAGUCAAACAAUAGCCCACCAAUAGACCAUCUAUAGCCCACCAAUAGACCAUCUAUAGCCCACCAAUAGCCCACCAAUAGUCAAUCUAUAGCCCAUCAAUAGUCCACCAAUAGACCAUCUAUAGCCCACCAACUGCCCAUCAAUAGUCCACCAAUAGACCAUCUAUAGCCCACCAAUAACUCACCAAUAGUCCAUAUAUAGCCCACCAAUAGUCCAUCUAUAGCCCACCAAUAGUCCAUCUAUAGCCCACCAAUAGUCCAUCUAUAGCCCACCAAUAGCCCAUCUAUAGCCCACCAAUAGUCCAUCUAUAGCCCACAAAUAGUCCAUCUAUAGCCCACCAAUAGACCAUCUAUAGCCCACCAAUAGACCAUCUAUAUCCCACCAAUAGCCCACCAAUAGUCCAUCUAUAGCCCAUCAAUAGCUCAUCUAUAGCCCAUCUAUAGCCCACCAAUAGACCAUCUAUAGCCCACCAAUAGACCAUAUAUAGCCCACCAAUAGACCAUCUAUAGCCCACCAAUAGUCCAUCUAUAGCCCACCAAUAGCCCAUUUAUAGCCCAUCUAUAGUCCACCAAUAGCCCAUCUAUAGCCCAUCUAUAGCCCACCAAUAGUCCAUCUAUAGCCCACCAAUAUACCAUCUAUAUCCCACCAAUAGACCAUCUAUAUCCCACCAAUAGUCCAUCUAUAGCCCACCAAUAGCCCAUCUAUAGCCCACCAAUAGCCCACCAUUAGUCAAUCUAUUGCCCAUCAAUAGCCCACCAAUAGCCCACCAAUAGUCCAUCUAUAGCCCACCAAUAGCCAAUCUAUAGCCCACCAAUAGCCCACCAAUACCCACCAAUAGCCCAUCUAUAGCCCACCAAUAGACCAUCUAUAGCCCACCAAUAGUCCAUCUAUAGCCCAUCUAUAGCCCACCAAUAGUCCAUCUAUAGCCCACCAAUAUACCAUCUAUAGCCCACCAAUAGACCAUCUAUA
ensembl:lncRNA